AUACGGAGGAUGCAAGCGUUAUCCGGAUUUAUUGGGUUUAAAGGGUGCGUAGGCGGUUUGCUAAGCGGGAGGUGAAAUGCCGGCGCUCAACGUCGGAAGUGCCUCCCGAACUGGUGGACUUGAAUGACUCUGCCGUGGGAGGAAUGUGUAGUGUAGCGGUGAAAUGCUUAGAGAUUACACAGAACACCGAUUGCGAAGGCAUCUCACGAAGGGUUGAUUGACGCUGAGGCACGAAAGCGCGGGGAUCAAACAGGAUUAGAUACCCUGGUAGUCCACGCAGUAAACGAUGAUGGCUAACCGCUGGGCUUAUCAGUUCAGUGGCCAAGCGAAAGCGAUAAGCCAUCCACCUGGGGAGUACGACCGCAAGGUUGAAACUUAAAGGAAUUGACGGGG
rnacentral:rRNA from 1 species